rnacentral:ribozyme from 1 species
CAAAACACAAAUACGAUAGGAAAGAAAGAACAAAAAAAAGCAGGGAAAAAAUUGAAGAGUGCAAGCAAGGUACUCGCAGGCUUGAUACGCCUGGCCGCGCAUAUUUUGUCCUUUACAUUUUCUCUU